CCUGAGAAACGGCUACCACAUCCAAGGGAGGCAGCAGGCGCGCAAAUUACCCAAUCCAGAUUCUAGGAGGUGGUGACGAGAAAUACUAGAUGGUUUCCGUAUGGAUGCCAUACUGGAAUGGACGUAAUUUAAGAAAUUCGAUGAGUAGCAACUGGAGGGCAAGUCUGGUGCCAGCAGCCGCGGUAAUUCCAGCUCCAGUAGUGUACUUUAAAGUUGCUGCGUUUAAAACGCUCGUAGUUGGAUUACGCAGUGUAAAAUAGUUUAUUGGCUUGAUGGUGCAUCAAACCCAGCUCGUAGAAAGGUGGUCGUGGUCAAUCCUAGAUUGCUAAUUUAUUAGUGGGCCAUCACGAGUCGAUAUCAGCUAUUUUGCACUACUUUUCGUGAGGAUGACAGUUGACCCUUAGUGCGUUGAUUGUUGUGUCUUACGAAGUGUGCCUUGAAUAAAUCAGAGUGCUUAAAGCAGGCUUUUGCUUGAAUGUAGAUAGCAUGGAACGAACAAUUGUGUUAAAUGUGUUUAAAGGAAGCUUUUAAGUGGUCUUUUGUUCGCUUGAAGGUGUUCUUUUGAGCACAGCACCAACCACCAUUAUCGGAUGUUGGUUUCCGUGAUGGGGUGAUGAUUAAAAGGAGCGGUUGGGGGCAUUGGUAUUUUGCCGCGAGAGGUAAAAUUCUUGGACCGGCAAAGGACUAACAAAUGCGAAGGCAUCUGUCAAGACCGUUUCCGUUAAUCAAGAACGAUAGUGAGAGGUUCGAAGACGAUCAGAUACCGUCCUAGUUCUCACUGUAAACUAUGCCGACCCGGGAUCAGUUUCGAGCUCAAAAUUGCUCGUGGUUGGUCCCCCUGGGAAACCUCAAGUUUUUAGGUUACGGGGGGAGUAUGGUUGCAAGGCUGAAACUUAAAGGAAUUGACGGAAGGGCACCACCAGGAGUGGAGCCUGCGGCUUAAUUUGACUCAACACGGGAAAACUCACCUGGUCCGGACAUCGAAAGGAUAGACAGACUGAUAGAUCUUUCUUGAUACGGUGGAUGGUGGUGCAUGGCCGUUCUUAGUUCGUGGAGUGAUCUGUCAGGCUAAUC
rnacentral:rRNA from 1 species